CACGUAGGGUGCGAGCGUUGUCCGGAAUUAUUUGGGCGUAAAGAGCUCGUAGGCGGUGUGUCGCGUCGGCCGUGAAAACCUGCAGCUUAACUGUGGGCUUGCGGUCGAUACGGGCAUCACUGGAGUUCGGCAGGGGAGACUGGAAUUCCUGGUGUAGCGGUGAAAUGCGCAGAUAUCAGGAGGAACACCGGUGGCGAAGGCGGGUCUCUGGGCCGAUACUGACGCUGGAGGGAGCGAAAAGCGGUGGGGGAGCGAACAGG
rnacentral:rRNA from 1 species